UAGGGUCGGUUCGGCCGGAUUUCACACAGGUGUUGCAUGGCUGUCGUCAGCUCGUGUCGUGAGAUGUUGGGUUAAGUCCCGCAACGAGCGUAACCCUCAUCCUUAGUUGCCAUCAGGUAAUGCUGAGCACUUUAAGGAAACUGCUAGUGAUAAACUGGAGGAAGGUGGGGAUGAUGUCAAGUCAUCAUGGCCCUUAUGGAGUGGGCUACACACGUGCUACAAUGGUGGCUACAAUGGGCUGCAAAGUCGCGAGGCCAAGCUAAUCCCUUAAAAGCCAUCUCAGUUCGGAUUGUACUCUGCAACUCGAGUGCAUGAAGUUGGAAUCGCUAGUAAUCGUGGAUCAGCAUGCCACGGUGAAUACGUUCUCGGGUCUUGUACACACUGCCCGUCACGCCAUGGGAAUUGGUUUCACUCGAAGCUAAUGACCUAACCGCAAGGAGGGAGUUAUUUAAAGUGGGAUCAGUGACUGGGGUGAAGUCGUAACAAGGUAGGCGUACUACA
rnacentral:rRNA from 1 species